UACCCGCUGAGUUUAAG
rnacentral:rRNA from 1 species